rnacentral:rRNA from 1 species
GACAGAGGUGCCGAGCGUUAGGCGGAAUCACUGGGCGUAAAGCGCACGUAGGCGGACUCUUAAGUCGGUGGUGAAAUCCUGGAGCUCAACUCCAGAACUGCCUUCGAUACUGAGAGUCUUGAGUCCGGGAGAGGUGAGUGGAACUGCGAGUGUAGAGGUGAAAUUCGUAGAUAUUCGCAAGAACACCAGUGGCGAAGGCGGCUCACUGGCCCGGUACUGACGCUGAGGUGCGAAAGCGUGGGGAGCAAACAGG